rnacentral:lncRNA from 1 species
UGGCAUUGACGUUUUUUUACCGUGACCUUGACCGAAGAGCACGUCGUUCCUGACACCCAGCUGCAUCGUUUGAACACAGGCUCCCAGGUUCUGGCGCUGCAGAACCUGGCGCUCCUGCAGGCCAGAGUUGAAGUUUCGCCCGAUAAGUUUCUUGCGCUUCCAGCGAUAAAUGCCGCUCAGGUCAUCCUGGAAAGCAUUACAGUGAAUACAGACUGCUUGACGGUGCAGCUGCUCUUGGAGAGCAGCAUUGCGGCGACAUGGCCGCGAGGGACUGGGUACUUGUACGUGCCCGGGCCCUACACCCGCUCAGGCUGGAGCUACAACAGGGUUAACUUCACCUGUGACGUUCCGGGCGUACAGCUCGAUGGGUCUGGUGUGCCCACGACCACAGUGCUGACAUCGGGGCUUGGCCUAUUUAACGCCCUCGUCUUAAGGUGCGCGUGUUGAACGGAC